UACGUAGGUGGCAAGCGUUAUCCGGAAUUAUUGGGCGUAAAGAGCGCGCAGGUGGUUAAUUAAGUCUGAUGUGAAAGCCCUCGGCUUAACCGUGGAGGGUCAUUGGAAACUGGUUGACUUGAGUGCAGAAGAGGGAAGUGGAAUUCCAUGUGUAGCGGUGAAAUGCGUAGAGAUAUGGAGGAACACCAGUGGCGAAGGCGGCUUCCUGGUCUGCAACUGACACUGAGGCGCGAAAGCGUGGGGAGCAAACAGG
rnacentral:rRNA from 1 species